rnacentral:rRNA from 1 species
AACGUAGGUGGCAAGCGUUAUCCGGAUUUACUGGGCGUAAAGGGUGUGCAGGCGGGGGUGCAAGUGGGGGAUGAAAUCUCCCGGCUUAACCGGGAGGGGUUAUGCCAGACUGCAAUUCUAGAGGACGAGAGAGGGGGGUGGAAUUCCGGGUGUAGUGGUGAAAUGCGUAGAUAUCUGGAGGAACACCGGUGGCGAAGGCGGCAUCCUGGACCGGUAUUGACGCUGAGGAGCGAAAGCCAGGGGAGCAAACGGG